rnacentral:lncRNA from 1 species
UCUUCUCUCAAUCUAAUUUAUUUCUUAUCCAUAUAUAGGUAGAGAUCUUUUUUACUUAUAGAUAAUUCUUAUGACCUAAUAAAUAUAGAACUCCUAAUUCAAAUAUUCUUUGAAUCGAUCUAAUACUCAUGAAAGAAAGACUCCUACAUGAGAUAGAAUUGGAACCACACAAGGCGCACACAAUGCAUUCAUUCCCACACCCUUAUGGGACACCCACAACCAGC